rnacentral:rRNA from 1 species
UACGUAGGGAGCGAGCGUUGUCCGGAUUUAUUGGGCGUAAAGGGCGUGUAGGCGGCCUGGUAAGUCGGGGGGUGAAAACUCAGGGCUCAACCCUGAGACUGCCUAGCGAUCAGGCUGGCUGGCUUGAGUGCUCUAGAGGGUAGUGGAAGUUGCCGGUGUAGCAGUGAAAUGCGUAGGAAGAGUCGGGCAAGGGAACACCC